rnacentral:rRNA from 1 species
UACGUAGGGUGCGAGCGUUAAUCGGAAUUACUGGGCGUAAAGCGUGCGCAGGCGGUUUUGUAAGACAGGUGUGAAAUCCCCGGGCUUAACCUAGGAAUUGCGCUUGAGACUGGAUAGCUUGGAGUGCGGCAGAGGGAGGUGGAAUUCCACGUGUAGCAGUGAAAUGCGUAGAGAUGUGGAGGAACACCGAUGGCGAAGGCAGCCUCCUGGGCCAGCACUGACGCUCAUGCACGAAAGCGUGGGGAGCAAACAGG